ACCCUUUGUGAACAUACCUAUAACUGUUGCUUCGGCGGGUAGGGUCUCCGUGACCCUCCCGGCCUCCCGCCCCCCCGGGCGGGUCGGCGCCCGCCGGAGGAUAACCAAACUCUGAUUUAACGACGUUUCUUCUGAGUGGUACAAGCAAAUAAUCAAAACUUUUAACAACGGAUCUCUUGGUUCUGGCAUCGAUGAAGAACGCAGCGAAAUGCGAUAAGUAAUGUGAAUUGCAGAAUUCAGUGAAUCAUCGAAUCUUUGAACGCACAUUGCGCCCGCCAGCAUUCUGGCGGGCAUGCCUGUUCGAGCGUCAUUUCAACCCUCAAGCUCUGCUUGGUGUUGGGGCCCUACAGCCGAUGUAGGCCCUCAAAGGUAGUGGCGGACCCUCCCGGAGCCUCCUUUGCGUAGUAACUUUACGUCUCGCACUGGGAUCCGGAGGGACUCUUGCCGUAAAACCCCCCAAUUUUCCAAAGGUUGACCUCGGAUCAGGUAGGAAUACCCGCUGAACUUAAGCAAUCAAAACCGGGGAAGAGAAAUUACUGAGUUUUACGCUCUACAACACUUUUGUGAACAUACCUAUACUGUUGCUUCGGCGGGUAGGGUCUCCGUGACCCUCCCGCCUCCCGCC
rnacentral:rRNA from 1 species